UAGCUCAGUUGGUAGAGCAUGGUGUUUGCAACGCCAGGGUUGUGGGUUCGAUUCCAU
rnacentral:tRNA from 1 species